rfam:Ictidomys tridecemlineatus contig047336, whole genome shotgun sequence.
AGGGAUAUAGCUCAGUUGGUAGAGUGCUUGCCUUGCAUGCCUAAGGCCCUGGGUUCAAUCCCCAGCACCACAA